rnacentral:rRNA from 1 species
ACACGACUACAUUAGAUACCCCGGUAGUCCUAGCCGUAAACGAUACUCGCUAGGUGUCGGCCACGGUGCGACCGUUGUCGGUGCCGUAGGGAAGCCGUGAGGCGAGCCACCUGGGAAGUACGGCCGCAAGGCUGAAACUUAAAGGAAUUGGCGGGGGAGCACAACAACGGGUGGAGCUUGCGGUUUAGUUGGAUUCAACGCCGGAAAUCUUACCGGGACCGACAGCAACAUGAAGGCCAAGCUGAAGACUUUGCCGGAUUAGCUG